UACGUAGGUGACCAGCGUUGUCCGGAUUUACUGGGCGUAAAGGGCGCGUAGGCGGUUGAUUAAGUGAGAUGUGAAAUCCCUGGGCUUAACCUAGGAACUGCAUCUCAUACUGAAUGACUAGAGUGCUGUAGAGGGUAGUGGAAUUUCCGGUGUAGCGGUGAAAUGCGUAGAUAUCGGAAGGAACACCAGUGGCGAAGGCGGCUACCUGGACAGACACUGACGCUGAGGCGCGAGAGCGUGGGGAGCAAACAGG
rnacentral:rRNA from 1 species